AGCGAACGCUGGCGGCAGGCCUAACACAUGCAAGUCGAGCGCCGUAGCAAUACGGAGCGGCAGACGGGGGAGUAACACGUGGGAACGUGCCCUUUGGUUCGGAACAACCCAGGGAAACUUGGGCUAAUACCGGAUAAGCCCUUACGGGGAAAGAUUUAUCGCCGAAGGAUCGGCCCGCGUCUGAUUAGCUAGUUGGUGGGGUAAUGGCCCACCAAGGCGACGAUCAGUAGCUGGUCUGAGAGGAUGAUCAGCCUCACUGGGACUGAGACACGGCCCAGACUCCUACGGGAGGCAGCAGUGGGGAAUAUUGGACAAUGGGCGCAAGCCUGAUCCAGCCAUGCCGCGUGGGUGAUGAAGGCCCUAGGGUUGUAAAGCCCUUUCGGCGGGGAAGAUAAUGACGGUACCCGCAGAAGAAGCCCCGGCUAACUUCGCGCCAGCCGCCGCGGUAA
rnacentral:rRNA from 1 species